rnacentral:tRNA from 1 species
UCCCCAGUAGCUCAACGGCAGAGCGUUCGGCUGUUAACCGGAAUGUUGUAAGUUCGAAUCUUACCUGGGGAG